AUUGAACGCUGGCGGCAUGCCUUACACAUGCAAGUCGAACGGUAACAGGUCUUCGGAUGCUGACGAGUGGCGAACGGGUGAGUAAUACAUCGGAACGUGCCUAGUAGUGGGGGAUACUACUCGAAAGAGUGGCUAAUACCGCAUGAGAUCUACGGAUGAAAGCAGGGGAUCGCAAGACCUUGUGCUACUAGAGCGGCCGAUGGCAGAUUAGGUAGUUGGUGGGAUAAAAGCUUACCAAGCCGACGAUCUGUAGCUGGUCUGAGAGGACGAUCAGCACGACUGGGACUGAGACACGGCCCAGACUCCUACGGGAGGCAGCAGUGGGGAAUUUUGGACAAUGGGCGCAAGCCUGAUCCAGCAAUGCCGCGUGCAGGAUGAAGGCCUUCGGGUUGUAAACUGCUUUUGUACGGAACGAAAAGCCCCGGGUUAAUACCCUGGGGUCAUGACGGUACCGUAAGAAUAAGCACCGGCUAACUACGUGCCAGCAGCCGCAGUAA
rnacentral:rRNA from 1 species